rnacentral:rRNA from 1 species
UACGGAGGGGGCUAGCGUUGUUCGGAAUUACUGGGCGUAAAGCGCACGUAGGCGGCUUUGUAAGUUAGAGGUGAAAGCCCGGGGCUCAACUCCGGAAUUGCCUUUAAGACUGCAUCGCUAGAAUUGUGGAGAGGUAAGUGGAAUUCCGAGUGUAGAGGUGAAAUUCGUAGAUAUUCGGAAGAACACCAGUGGCGAAGGCGACUUACUGGACACAUAUUGACGCUGAGGUGCGAAAGCGUGGGGAGCAAACAGGG